rnacentral:rRNA from 1 species
GACGAACGCUGGCGGCGUGCUUAACACAUGCCAGUCGAACGGAAAGGCCUGCUUUCCCUUGUGGAUUGCGGGUACUCGAGUGGCGAACGGGUGAGUAACACGUGAGUGAUCUGCCCCCAACUUGGGUAUAAGCCUGGGAAACUGGGUCUAAUUCCCGAUAGGACUGCAGGGUGGUGCCUGUGGUGGAAAACGAUUUUCUAGUGGUUGGGGAUGAGCUCGCGGCCUAUCAGCUUGUUGGUGGGGUAAUGGCCUACCAAGGCGGCGACGGGUAGCCGGCCUGAGAGGGUGGACGGCCACAUUGGGACUGAGAUACGGCCCAGACGCCUACGGGAGGCAGCAGUGGGGAAGAUUGCACAAUGGGCGGAAGCCUGAUGCAGCGACGCCGCGUGGGGGAUGACGGCCUUCGGGUGGUAAACUCCUUUCGACCGCGAGGAAGCCACCUGGUUGGAAGGGUGGUGACGGUAGUGGUAGAAGAAGCACCGGCUAACUACGUG